GACGAACGCUGGCGGCGUGCUUAACACAUGCAAGUCGAACGAAGUGGCGAACGGGUGAGUAACGCGUAAUCAACCUGCCCUUCAGAGGGGGACAACAGUUGGAAACGACUGCUAAUACCGCAUACUGAAGGAGGGGAUUGAGUCUGAUUAGCUAGUUGGAGGGGUAACGGCCCACCAAGGCGAUGAUCAGUAGCCGGGCUUGGGGGGAGAACGGCCACAUUGGGACUGGGACACGGGCCAGACUCCUACGGGAGGGAGCAGUGGGGAAUCUUCCGCAAUGGACGAAAGUCUGACGGAACAACGCCGCGUGAGUGAGGACGGGCUUCGGGUUGUAAAGCUCUGUUAAUCGGGACGCGGUACCGGAAUAGAAAGUCACGGCUAACUACGUGCCAGCAGCCGCGGUAAUUC
rnacentral:rRNA from 1 species